rnacentral:rRNA from 1 species
UACGUAGGGGGCAAGCGUUAUUCGGAAUUACUGGGCGUAAAGCGUGCGCAGGCGGUUAUGUAAGACAGGUGUGAAAUCCCCGGGCUUAACCUGGGAACUGCAUUUGUGACUGCAUCGCUGGAGUGCGGGAGAGGGGGAUGGAAUUCCGCGUGUAGCAGUGAAAUGCGUAGAGAUGUGGAGGAACACCGAUGGCGAAGGCAGCCCCCUGGGUCAAGAUUGACGCUCAGGCACGAAAGCGUGGGGAGCAAACAGG